AAUUAUUCCACGUUGGAGAAAAACAUGAAUGGAGAUAUAGGCCUUUUGAUCGUUUCAGCGGCUCUCGACGUGUUGUUUGAUCAGCUCAGCAGGUUUGCAGUUUACUUCUUAUCUGAACUUCCUCACAAAAUUUGCAUAGGGCUAAGUCAUCCUAAUUGGUUAAUGAGUAGGAGAUGACUCUGAAGAAUAUUUCAUGUUCGCUGUGGUUAUGUGAAAAAUUUGUAUCUCGUUUUUCGAUAAUCAAGUACUCCCCAAGGGCCAGUGACGCACGGUUCGAACCUUGGUCAAUAACGGGCCCGUCCUCUACCCUUCUCCACUUAAAUACUAGGUUCGAAUCUGUGACUUACGUCUCAUCCACACAUCACGUGCUCCGCUUUUACCACUAGACCAAAUCCUUGGAAGCAAAAAAAUUAUAUUAUUUUACGUUAAUGGAUGAUACGUCCUUACUGGAAGGAAUGAAAUAUAGGUGUGGUACUGAUAUGUUUUAGUAGAUCAGCCUACUGUUUUCUGGUCAUGUAGAAUUUGAUAUUGUUAGAAGUGUAAAUAUAGUAGAACUCUAAUCCAAAGUGUAUUAGGAGU
rnacentral:lncRNA from 1 species